GAGCCAGCCAACUGACCUACUUAUCUGAAAACAUCUCUGUGGACAUUCAGCAAAAGCUGGCAGUGCGGAUGCCAUAUCACCAGUCUUAAGAUGAAGGAAAACCCUUAUGGUCCACAGAAUUGACUAGAAUA
ensembl:snoRNA predicted gene, 23184